AGAUUAAACAUAAGAGUUUGAUCCUGGCUCAGAUUGAACGCUGGCGGCAUGCUUUACACAUGCAAGUCGAACGGCAGCACGGAGAGCUUGCUCUCUGGUGGCGAGUGGCGAACGGGUGAGUAAUGCAUCGGAACGUACCGAGUAAUGGGGGAUAACUGUCCGAAAGGAUGGCUAAUACCGCAUACGCCCUGAGGGGGAAAGCGGGGGAUCUUAGGACCUCGCGUUAUUUGAGCGGCCGAUGUUGGAUUAGCUAGUUGGUGGGGUAAAGGCCUACCAAGGCGACGAUCCAUAGCGGGUCUGAGAGGAUGAUCCGCCACAUUGGGACUGAGACACGGCCCAAACUCCUACGGGAGGCAGCAGUGGGGAAUUUUGGACAAUGGGGGGAACCCUGAUCCAGCCAUGCCGCGUGUCUGAAGAAGGCCUUCGGGUUGUAAAGGACUUUUGUUAGGGAAGAAAAGCUGGGUGUUAAUACCAUCUAGUGCUGACGGUACCUAAAGAAUAAGCACCGGCUAACUACGUGCCAGCAGCCGCGGUAAUACGUAGGGUGCGAGCGUUAAUCGGAAUUACUGGGCGUAAAGCGAGCGCAGACGGUUAAAUAAGUCAGAUGUGAAAUCCCCGAGCUCAACUUGGGACGUGCAUUUGAAACUGUGUAACUAGAGUGUGUCAGAGGGAGGUAGAAUUCCACGUGUAGCAGUGAAAUGCGUAGAGAUGUGGAGGAAUACCGAUGGCGAAGGCAGCCUCCUGGGAUAACACUGACGUUCAUGCUCGAAAGCGUGGGUAGCAAACAGGAUUAGAUACCCUGGUAGUCCACGCCCUAAACGAUGACAAUUAGCUGUUGGGGUACUAGAUGCCUUAGUAGCGAAGCUAACGCGUGAAAUUGUCCGCCUGGGGAGUACGGUCGCAAGAUUAAAACUCAAAGGAAUUGACGGGGACCCGCACAAGCGGUGGAUGAUGUGGAUUAAUUCGAUGCAACGCGAAGAACCUUACCUGGUCUUGACAUGUACGGAAUCUCUUAGAGAUAGGAGAGUGCCUUCGGGAACCGUAACACAGGUGCUGCAUGGCUGUCGUCAGCUCGUGUCGUGAGAUGUUGGGUUAAGUCCCGCAACGAGCGCAACCCUUGUCAUUAGUUGCCAUCAUUAAGUUGGGCACUCUAAUGAGACUGCCGGUGACAAACCGG
rnacentral:rRNA from 1 species